AUUGAGAGGUUGUUCCUUCUACUGAAUGGGCGGAUAUAAAUCCGACCACUCAGAAGAAGGAGCUGCGGUUGUGUUUCCCGAAGUUGCCAUGUUAACACUGCUGCUAGUGAAGGAGCGGAGGGGAGAGCAAGAGAACCCUCCGCUCUUUUGGCUCCGUGGGCGGGAUAGAACAGCAGAACGGGCGGAUCCAGUCUGUGGCCAGUAGUUUGCCCAUGGCUGGUAGGAGCUGGUUCCCUCCACAGUUUCCCUCCAGAUAGCUGGCGCUCUCGCAGAUGCACAAAAGAUGAACUUUCAUCCAUCUGGUAAAGCAAAUCAUUAGAGGUCUUGGGGCAGAAAGGAUCUCAACCUAGUCUCAAACUUUCUUUCAAUGGGUCAGAAGCCUGGCUCGCUGGCGUGGAGCCGGGCGUGGAAUGCGAGUGCCUACCGGGCCACUUUUGGUCAGCAGAACUGGCGCUGCGGGGUGAACCGAAUGACGCUCAUCAGACCCCAGAAAAGGUGUUGGUUGAUAGCGACAGCAGGACGGGGGUCAUGGAAGUCGCAAUCUGCUAAGGAGUGUGUAACAACUCACCUGCGGAAUCAACGAGCCCUGAAAACGGAUGGCGCCGGUGCCGCGGGCCCAUACCCGGCUGUAGUUCUUCCAAGGAGAACUUGGAAGGCCAAAGUGGAGAAGGGUUCCAUGAGAACAGCAGUUGCACAUGGGUCAGUCGGUCCUGAGAGAUGGGCGAGCGCCAUUCCGAGGGGACCGGCAAUGGCCUCCGUUGCCCUCAGCCGAUCGAAAGGGAGUCGUGUUCAUAUCCCCGAAUCCCGAGUGGCGGAGACGGGCGCCCCGAGGCGUCCAGUGCGGUAACGCGACCGACCCCACCACCCGGGGAAGCAGCCGGAGGCCCCAGGGAGAGUUCUCUUUUUUUGUGAAGGGCAGGGCGCCGAGGAAUGGGUUCGCCCCGAGAGAGGGGCCUGUGCCUUGGAAAGCAUCGCGGUUCCGGCGAUGUCCGGUGCGCGCCCGCUGGCCCUUGGACAAAAAAUCCCAGGGAGAGGGUGUAAAUCUCGCUCCGGGCCAUACCCAUAUCCUCCGGGGUUGGGGUG
rfam:Myotis lucifugus cont2.51059, whole genome shotgun sequence.